rnacentral:rRNA from 1 species
CUCAAAGGAAUUGACGGGGACCCGCACAAGCGGUGGAUGAUGUGGUUUAAUUCGAUGCAACGCGAAAAACCUUACCCACCUUUGACAUGUACGGAACCCUUUGGAGACAGAGGGGUGCUCGAAAGAGAGCCGUAACACAGGUGCUGCAUGGCUGUCGUCAGCUCGUGUCGUGAGAUGUUGGGUUAAGUCCCGCAACGAGCGCAACCCUUGUCAUUAGUUGCUACGAAAGGGCACUCUAAUGAGACUGCCGGUGACAAGCCGGAGGAAGGUGGGGAUGACGUCAAGUCCUCAUGGCCCUUAUAGGUGGGGCUACACACGUCAUACAAUGGCUGGUACAGAGGGUUGCCAACCCGCGAGGGGGAGCCAAUCCCAUAAAACCAGUCGUAGUCCGGAUCGCAGUCUGCAACUCGACUGCGUGAAGUCGGAAUCGCUAGUAAUCGCGGAUCAGCAUGUCGCGGUGAAUACGUUCCCGGGUCUUGUACACACCGCCCGUCACACCAUGGGAGCGG